rnacentral:rRNA from 1 species
GAUGAACGCUGACAGAAUGCUUAACACAUGCAAGUCUUUGGCGAAGCUGUGCUUGCACAGCCUAGCCAAGGCGGACGGGUGAGUAACGCGUAAGGAACUUGCCCUGCAGUCAGGGAUAACAGACGGAAACGACUGAUAAGACCUGGUAAAGUCAGGCGGACUCAUGUCCAGCCUGAUGAAAAGAGAUGCUGCAGGAGAGCCUUGCGUCCUAUUAGCUUGUUGGUGGGGUAACGGCCCACCAAGGCGAUGAUAGGUAGCCGGCCUGAGAGGGUGGACGGCCACAAGGGGACUGAGAUACGGCCCUUACUCCUACGGGAGGCAGCAGUGGGGAAUAUUGGACAAUGGGGGCAACCCUGAUCCAGCAAUUCUGUGUGCACGAUGAAGGUUUUCGGAUUGUAAAGUGCUUUCAGCAGGGAAGAAAAAAAUGACGGUACCUGCAGAAGAGGCGACGGCUAAAUACGUGCCAGCAGCCGCGGUAAUACGUAUGUCGCAAGCGUUAUCCGGAAUUAUUGGGCAUAAAGGGCAUCUAGGCGGCCAGAUAAGUCUGGGGUGAAAACUUGCGGCUCAACCGCAAGCCUGCCCUGGAAACUAUGUGGCUAGAGUACUGGAGAGGUGGACGGAACUGCACGAGUAAAGGUGAAAUUCGUAGAUAUGUGCAGGAAUGCCGAUGAUGAAGAUAGUUCACUGGACGGUAACUGACGCUGAAGUGCGAAAGCUAGGGGAGCAAACAGG